GGUGAUUUUAACAAGAUCUUGUAUUCUUAUGAAAAGGAGGGUGGUAACAUGAGUCUUAUUAAAUUGAUGGAGGAUUUCAAGAAGGUACUAGUUGACUGUGGGUUAGAGGACCUUGGUUACUCAGGAGAUAUGUUCACCUGGUGCAGAGGUCACAAUAAGGAACGUCUUCAUUGUGCUGUAGGGAAUGGAUUGUGGCAAAGUCUAUUUCCUGUGGCUACGGUAACAAAUGGAGAUCAUUGCAAGUUCGACCACCCUCUGCUUAUAAUUUAUCUAGAGCCGUUUGAUGCUCCAAUCCUUCGGUCAAGUGGAUGCAAGAAGUUUGAAGCUCGGUUGGUCACAAGAAAAAUUGAUGCAUGA
rnacentral:rRNA from 1 species